rnacentral:rRNA from 1 species
GACGAACGCUGGCGGCGUGCCUAAUACAUGCAAGUCGAACGAACAGAUGGGAGCUUGCUCCCUGAUGUUAGUGGCGGACGGGUGAGUAACACGUGGGUAACCUGCCUGUAAGAUUGGGAUAACUUCGGGAAACCGAAGCUAAUACCGGAUAAUAUAUAAAACCGCAUGGUUUUAUAUUGAAAGAUGGCUUUUGUUACCACUUACAGAGGGACCCGCGGCGCAUUAGCUAGUUGGUGAGGUAACGGCUCACCAAGGCGACGAUGCGUAGCCGACCUGAGAGGGUGAUCGGCCACACUGGGACUGAGACACGGCCCAGACUCCUACGGGAGGCAGCAGUAGGGAAUCUUCCGCAAUGGACGAAAGUCUGACGGAGCAACGCCGCGUGAGCGAAGAAGGCCUUCGGGUCGUAAAGCUCUGUUGUUAGGGAAGAACAAGUACCGGAGUAACUGUCGGUACCUUGACGGUACCUAACGAGAAAGCCACGGCUAACUACGUGCCAGCAGCCGCGGUAACAC